GGGGAUGUAGCUCAGCAGUACUAGCACCUGCCUGGCAAGCGCAGGAUCCUGAGUUCAAUUCCCAGUGCCCCCC
rnacentral:tRNA from 1 species